rnacentral:rRNA from 1 species
AAUACGUUCCCGGGCCUUGUACACACCGCCCGUCACGUCACGAAAGUCGGUAACACCCGAAGCCGGUGGCCUAACCGUAAGGAAGGAGCCGUCGAAGGUGGGAUUGGCGAUUGGGACG